rnacentral:rRNA from 5 species
AGAGUUUGAUCCUGGCUCAGGAUGAACGCUGGCGGCGUGCCUAAUACAUGCAAGUCGAGCGAACGGACGAGAAGCUUGCUUCUCUGAUGUUAGCGGCGGACGGGUGAGUAACACGUGGAUAACCUACCUAUAAGACUGGGAUAACUUCGGGAAACCGGAGCUAAUACCGGAUGAUAUUUUGAACCGCAUGGUUCAAAAGUGAAAGACGGUCUUGCUGUCACUUAUAGAUGGAUCCGCGCUGCAUUAGCUAGUUGGUAAGGUAACGGCUUACCAAGGCAACGAUGCAUAGCCGACCUGAGAGGGUGAUCGGCCACACUGGAACUGAGACACGGUCCAGACUCCUACGGGAGGCAGCAGUAGGGAAUCUUCCGCAAUGGGCGAAAGCCUGACGGAGCAACGCCGCGUGAGUGAUGAAGGUCUUCGGAUCGUAAAACUCUGUUAUUAGGGAAGAACAUAUGUGUAAGUAACUGUGCACAUCUUGACGGUACCUAAUCAGAAAGCCACGGCUAACUACGUGCCAGCAGCCGCGGUAAUACGUAGGUGGCAAGCGUUAUCCGGAAUUAUUGGGCGUAAAGCGCGCGUAGGCGGUUUUUUAAGUCUGAUGUGAAAGCCCACGGCUCAACCGUGGAGGGUCAUUGGAAACUGGAAAACUUGAGUGCAGAAGAGGAAAGUGGAAUUCCAUGUGUAGCGGUGAAAUGCGCAGAGAUAUGGAGGAACACCAGUGGCGAAGGCGACUUUCUGGUCUGUAACUGACGCUGAUGUGCGAAAGCGUGGGGAUCAAACAGGAUUAGAUACCCUGGUAGUCCACGCCGUAAACGAUGAGUGCUAAGUGUUAGGGGGUUUCCGCCCCUUAGUGCUGCAGCUAACGCAUUAAGCACUCCGCCUGGGGAGUACGACCGCAAGGUUGAAACUCAAAGGAAUUGACGGGGACCCGCACAAGCGGUGGAGCAUGUGGUUUAAUUCGAAGCAACGCGAAGAACCUUACCAAAUCUUGACAUCCUUUGACAACUCUAGAGAUAGAGC